AUGCCAUCUAUGGGUAGAGAAAGGAUCAUGGUUGAUAACAACAAACAAAAAGGGCAUAACACAAUUCUGGAAAGUCAUUACAUAUUAUACUUGUAUGAUUCAGGAUUUAUUCACCAAUGCUACAAAUUUAGCACUAAGAAAAAUCAGCAAACAUAAGUCCUACUACAGAUUGGAUGGAU
rnacentral:lncRNA from 13 species